AGCGAACGCUGGCGGCAGGCUUAACACAUGCAAGUCGAGCGGGCCCUUCGGGGUCAGCGGCGGACGGGUGAGUAACGCGUGGGAACGUGCCUUCUGGUCUGGAAUAACCCUGGGAAACUAGGGCUAAUACCGGAUACGCCCUUUUGGGGAAAGGUUUACUGCCGGAAGAUCGGCCCGCGUCUGAUUAGCUAGUUGGUGGGGUAACGGCCUACCAAGGCGACGAUCAGUAGCUGGUCUGAGAGGAUGAUCAGCCACACUGGGACUGAGACACGGCCCAGACUCCUACGGGAGGCAGCAGUGGGGAAUAUUGGACAAUGGGCGCAAGCCUGAUCCAGCCAUGCCGCGUGAGUGAUGAAGGCCUUAGGGUUGUAAAGCUCUUUUAUCCGGGACGAUAAUGACGGUACCGGAGGAAUAAGCCCCGGUUAACUUCGUG
rnacentral:rRNA from 1 species